AUUUCUUCUCCGGGUGAGAGAAACACGUAUCGAAGGUUCAUGGCUCAGACAUCAACACCAACACCAACACCAUUUUUUUGAGAAGAACUUGGUCAUGCAUGUGGCUAUAUAUUAAUUGUUUGGUUAUGUACACAUUAUGUAUACGGGUUGCUCUCACCUGGGCUAGAGCUGC
rnacentral:pre_miRNA from 1 species